rnacentral:rRNA from 1 species
GAUGAACGCUGGCGGCGUGCCUAACACACGCAAGUCGAACGAAGCACCUUACCUGAUUCUUCGGAUGAAAGUUUGGUGACUGAGUGGCGGACGGGUGAGUAACGCGUGGGUAACCUGCCCUGUACAGGGGGAUAACAGCUGGAAACGGCUGCUAAUACCGCAUAAGUGCACGAGGAGACAUCUCCUUGUGUGAAAAACUCCGGUGGUACAGGAUGGGCCCGCGUCUGAUUAGCUGGUUGGCAGGGUAACGGCCUACCAAGGCAACGAUCAGUAGCCGGUCUGAGAGGAUGAACGGCCACAUUGGAACUGAGACACGGUCCAAACUCCUACGGGAGGCAGCAGUGGGGAAUAUUGCACAAUGGGGGAAACCCUGAUGCAGCAACGCCGCGUGAGUGAAGAAGUAUUUCGGUAUGUAAAGCUCUAUCAGCAGGGAAGAUAAUGACGGUACCUGACUAAGAAGCUCCGGCUAAAUACGUG